CUUUAAAAAAAAAAAAAAAAAAUUGGAUCUCAGUUGCUUUUUCUCACUGUAGUCUUUUACUUUAAUGAGGAAAAUUAUCCUUGCAAACUAGGAGAAGGGGAAAGGUUUUGAGGUCAAAGAUUGCUCAGUAUUAGCAAACCUUCGACUUCCUGUGAUUUAUGAAAAAAUAUUCUCAAAUGCAAAAUCUAGCCUUGAGCUUAAUGGCUAUAGUAAAAAUUAGAUUAAUCAACUUCUUGAAUAAAGUAAAUGAGAAAUGAUUAAGAGACACGGUACGUGGAGUUUCCAUGAAGUAGGAAGAAGGACGUGGGUUUAGAAUCCUGAGUUGUGGACAAAGGAAGAAAUCGGAGUUUGAGGAAGAUUUACUUUGGUUAUUGGACAGAUGAGUUUAUAUUACCUGUUAUUAAAUAUUAAGGAGUGAAUAUUUUGGAUUUUAUCUCCUGCUAUAAACUCGUACUCAGGAAGGGAAAGAACACUAACUCCCUUCACCUCUACCAUUUUUACAGCAAUGUGAAAAUCAAGUGUACUUAAUGUCAGAACCCAACUGUGUUGAAUAACUCUAUUAAAAAUGUUUUAUUUUAUUUUUCUUUGGACUUUUAUGAUUGUUUUUUUUUCCAGAUGUGUCCGUUCCAAAUAAAUAUCUAUGAACUUUCCUUUGGGCAGUCAGAAACCACUAACGAGUUUUUAUAGCAGCUGUCAGACUACUACCUCUUUUCAACCAAAUUCCCUAUCUUCUUGUGUUUCUUAAAAGCAUCUAAUCCUAAGCAGCACUGAAUAUUUUUGAUUUCUGAUGAAGCACUCGGCAUUUUGGAAAUCAACCUCAUAAAGAGAUCCGUAGACCAUUAAAAAUGUAUCUUCAAAAUGUCAACUAUAAACACAUUUGUGGCAUGAACAAUUAAAGUCUUGUACCCUUUCAUAUUAUAGAACAUGAAGCAAACCCAGGAAGGUCACAUCUGAGGAUGACUACUCUGGGUUAGGAUGUGUUUUUCUUUUCUACUUAUUUCUGCGUCUCUGAAUGCCAUAAUUUGUUUCCUCAUUGGGUGGCUGACUCUGACUAACUGCUGUCAGGCAUAUGCUCUUUUCCCUGCCACUUUCUUCUUCUUGUUCCACAGGCAGCUGAAUCAGUUGCAUGCCAGAAGCUUAUUGUGAGCUGGAAAGAGCAUGAAAGUGUCCUUUCUGGCUUUAUUUCAAUAUCUUAGCCAGAUCCUGAUGUUGGGUGGAACCCGGAAAGUAUUCACAUAGAAAAACAAUUAAGAAAAUACCAUGAACAGUAUUAAUUUGAUUUUAUUUUUUAAUGUGAACUUAUCUGACUCAUUUGAGCAAUGUUUAUUUCAAAGACUCAGAAAUACUUAUUUUUUUCUUAAACUAAAUAAUGAAAAUAUUCUGCUUGGGUUUUUUUUUGGUAAGCAAGCUGGAAGUUAGAACUUCUUAAUUCCUUAAAUUCAGUGGUAGGAAAUUGGUUUCGGAGUAAUGAAACUGAUUCUGUGUUGUAAAUACUGUCCCUUCUUGUUCCUUAUAAUAUAUUUAUUUUUGUAACCAAAAAACCCUAACUAUUCUAUAAGUUCAUCUAUGCUUUAAUAAAUGCCUUAUAUACUUGUUACAGGUGAAUUGAUAGCUUCCAGGACAAAUCAAACAGCUUUGACUAUGAUCAGCCAGAAGUAGAUAAAUAAUGCACGUGGAUAAUUCUUUCCUAGCUGGAGAACUGAAGGUUGAAUGUUGUUUAAGGAGACUCCUUCGAAACAGGAGCAGUUUGGUUGAGUAAUGCUUCAGUUACAGGUUACAUUUUGAAAGCUGAAUGGGAACCACAUGAAGAAGACAGAUAUAAAUGUUCAUAAUACAAAUCUGCAAUACUGUUUUUGCUGACAUUUCCUCCUCCUUCCCCAGUCAGUCUCUGUAGAGGGUGGAGUAAAUGUGAUUGGUCCUCUUCCCGUUCACUGUGGCUGUUGUCAGCAGGAUAGAUGUGAAGUGAGCCUUGCGAGUUAUCUACUUCCAGAUUCUAGACUACCUAUGAAAAUGGAAGCAUGUGGUGGAUAGUGGAAGUGUGGCUGUAGUAUCAAAGUUCCUCUUUGUCAUUGUCUCCAUCGUGAGUGUUCUUGCAGAAAAAGUUUGAACGUAAAAAUACAGGAUAAUAUGAGGAAAUUUCUAGAUGGGAAAGGGAAGGGAGACCAAUCUUUCGAUGAAGGAGAUUCAGGAUGAGCCGCAACCUUCUAAAACAAGCAAGAAUGAAUUCCAAGGCAAAACAAAAGAACAAUACUAUAGACAACGUUUGUUCAAACUACAGCUGUGACAGGAAGGGAAAGAGAAUGAAAUUUAUUCAUGAGCAGGAGACUAAAGAAUUGUAUGCUUAUUCUACUCUCAGAAGAGGAUCUGAAGUGAAAAUGAGGUUCCAUCAUAAAAAGAUCUACAUUCCAUAACAGAUGUAAUCAAUAUCAAGACUCACCCUUCCCAGAACAGUGUUCAGCUAUGUUACUUUUUUAAUAUCUAUCUGUAUGGGAACCGCUGAAUCACGGCCUGAAUCUCUGAUUGAUCUGAGGCGAGCAAUGAGUCAGCCACAGGAACA